rfam:Betaproteobacteria bacterium RIFCSPLOWO2_12_FTLL_65_14 rifcsplowo2_12_scaffold_2898, whole genome shotgun sequence.
UCGGGAUGCAGGCUCCCGGCGAUCCAAGACGGGCGGUCCGUCCAAGCUCUGC